rnacentral:rRNA from 1 species
UACGUAGGGUGCAAGCGUUGUCCGGAAUUAUUGGGCGUAAAGAGCUCGUAGGCGGUUUGUCGCGUCUGCUGUGAAAACCCGAGGCUCAACCUCGGGCCUGCAGUGGGUACGGGCAGACUAGAGUGCGGUAGGGGAGAUUGGAAUUCCUGGUGUAGCGGUGGAAUGCGCAGAUAUCGAGGAGGAACACCGAUGGCGAAGGCAGA